rnacentral:lncRNA from 1 species
UAAUUCUAUCAACUUUAUUCAUGUAAAAAUUACAAUAUAAUUCUUAUUUACUUUCUUUCUCACUAUAAAAUACACAGAAUAAACUUUUAAAGCAUUAAAACACUGAACUUUGGGGGGACAAUAUAUAACAGCACUAAAAAGGUACACAUAAAAUUCAUGACUAAGGCAACAUCAAAUUAAUUUCCUGUUUUUCAAAUUCAUACUCUUUAGAUGUCCAAAGCACUCUUUUUUUUUUUUGUAGAACAGCAAUAAAUUUUCUCUAGACAUGUCAGAUUUUAAUUUUUAUUCUAAGAAAUAAUUGCUCAUGGAAAAAUACUUUCGAAAUUGAGUUAUGGUAUAAUAGAUAUAGAGUUAUGGUUUAAUAGAUAUUGGGGAAAGUUUAUUACCUCCCCUUUUCUUUCAAGAUAAAAUCUGAAAAAUAAGAAAUUAAUUUCCCAUGGCCUUAAAAAAUGUAACUAUCAAUUACAACAUGACUUUAUGUACAAGGCAUUAGUCUAGUUUAAGAUUGAAAAUGUCUGCUUACACAUGUAUAUAAAUUGGUUUAUCAAAACACCAGUUUUACCCCAAAAAAAUAUAUAUAGAUAGGUUAAUUAGUAUUGCAUUAUUCACUUUUAGUUAUUUUUUAUAAUUGUACAAGUAAAAAGAUGAAUUGAUGUAAAUAUAAAGUAAUACAGUUACCAAAACAAUAAAUGAAACCAAAUUUGUUCCAGUUUUGAGCGAGUAUUACGCAAAGAACAGAGAUUCACAUAAAAAUAUCAAUAUUUUUCUGAUGAUAAAUUGAACAAAACUUUGUUUACAUAAUAUAAUGUACCCUUUGUAACAUGUAUGAAUAGAUAGACCAAUGGAUGCCACUGAAAUCAUAUAAAGUUACAAAUUAUCAAACGCAUAUGUCCCAAGGGAUUUGACCUCAGCCUGUUUCAAUUUAAUUUACCAUCAAAACUUUUACCAAUUUGAAAGAACUUUUAUUAAAUUAAAAUUGAAUCAAAACAUAUUUUUGAGGUCAUUGUCAUUUGAAGCUUCCAUGUAAAAAAUAAACAGCUGUUCAUUUACUGUAAGAAUAUGUCAUACUUGUAAGUAUAUAAAUAGAAAACCUUCUUUUAAAAUGUGACUCUUCAAAUAUAUUUAAUUUAAACAUAUCUUCUGUACUUUGGUUACGCAUCAACAAUAUUCUAGAGGGACAUCCAUUGGUAUCAUAUCUUAGUCAAUACAAAUUAUGGUUCAACAAGUAUCUUUGAUAAUAAACAAUGCGUUGUUAAUGACAUGAUGCUCCUGUUAAAGGCAACAUCUUUUCUGUUUCUUUACUAAAGUAAAAUCUGCACCUAUUCCACAUGUGAAUAAAUUGAACACAAAAUGAAUCUUGUAAGAUCUCCCAUAAAUACAAUAAUUUAGCAUGUUAAAAAUUUAAAUUAAAAUUAAAAGCCUAUUUACAUGCACUGUUUAUAUCUAAAAUCUGUACAAUCUUGAGAAGCAAUGGAAAAAAUGCAAUGAACGUCAAAAUUGUUACAUUUAAUAAAUAAAUUCUCUUUCAAUAAAUAUUUCAGAUCUUUUUCUCUUUCCAUAAACAUUUCAGAAAUCUUUUUAAGAAUUUCAAGAUGCAAUAAUUCCUCGAAUGGCACAAGUUUAAACAAUAAUGAAGCUACCAUUUGUUCAACCAUUAAGAAGAAUGUAAAAGUAAAACCUGUUUAUUUUAAGGCACAACUCAGAGAAUAUUUUGAGAUCUAAGGGCAAAACUAAUUAAUUUAUUAGACUUUAUUAACCAACUAAGUACAUUAUUGCCAAAAAUGACUGGUUAUUAAAAAUAACAUAUUUUCUGUAAUGGCCCUGUAAUUGUUUUUCUGUAAUGGCCUUGUUUUUCUGUAAUGGCCCUGUAUUAAUGCCCGGUUUGUCUGUGUACAGCACAGUUAGGGUUUUUAAUAAAGUUAAUAAAAUUAAGUUGUAAAGAGUAUAAUACUUUUUUUGUAUUUUAUUUAAUUUAGUAACCAGCAACCAACAUUAAAGAACCAUAUAUAGGGAUCACUGUUCCUCCUGUUUUUCAACACAUAACUUCUGUCAACUUAAUAUCUUGGAUAUUUGGUAUAUUAACACAUACACUUUUAUUCAGUUGGUUAAUAAAUGUAUUAAGAAAUGGGUGUUUUUUUAAUAAUGGCUCUGUUAUAUGUCCUCGGUCAGUAAUAAUGGCCUCGGAUGUCUGUAAUGUCCCUCGGCGUUGCCUCGGGCCAUUACAGACUUCCUCGACCAUUAUAACAGACCUUGGACAAAUAACAGGGCCAUUAUAAAAACACCCAUUCAUUAAUACUAUAAUAGUAUAUACUUUAUGUUGGGAAUAAUUCAACAAUACAGACUAUUACAAUACUUCAGAACAAAAAAAAACAUGUCUAUUCUUCCAAGAUUUUUUAAUUUAUUUUUUUUGUAUAAUUUUUUAUGUUGGACACAGCCAUUUUUCUUGUUUUUUUAAAGUAAAAUAAAUUGGCUACUGAGUAAACUGCUGAUUUUAAUGUAUACGUUCAUCAUGAAUAUGUUACUCUUUCAAUAUAAGAAAAUUUAAUACUAUAAUUUUAAGAAUUUUUGCAUUAAAAACAAUUGUUUUUAUUCAGAUAUUGCUGUUCCUAAAACUUCAUUCAAGAACCAAAACAUGUACAAUGUAUUAUGCUUAGCCAGUAUCACCAUGAUUGAGGAUGUUGAUUUUUUCAACAAUAUAAUUAAAAUACCUAGCAAUGGUUUAAACUGACAAUGACUAAACUUGAAAUAUUAACAUUUAUAUUGACUUAAUGGGGUACAAUGCUGACCAGUUACUACGACAGUGUGAUAAUAGUUGCAUUAUAUAUGUUAAGACUUUUGACUCAGAGAUUAACCACAGAUGAACAGAGUUACUGGACUUGAUUUUGACUAAAAACAUCAAAAAUUGCAAAAUUUAAUCUUCUAAUCUGUGCAAUACAGUAGUGGAUGUGCUCAUUUUGUACUUAUAAAGUACACAACACUUAAAAAAACAAUUCUGUAUAACAAAAUAGCAGUUUCAUAAUUCUUCUCAAUAGCUGCUCAAAAUUGAAAUUUAAAUGCUUUGUUUUCAUGAUUUCUAAAAACACCAAAUAUACAUAUAUUUUUGUAUUUAUAACUUUCUCUAACACAUAUUGACAAGAAAACAUACCUGAAAUUCUAUAAAUAUAUUUCAUAAAUAUGAGGUAUCAAGUUUUUACGAGGCUUUAAUUUACUUUGGUAUAUAGCCUUUAACGAACUAAUCACAUCUUGACUAGAAAAAGGCAAGCUAUAUUUAAUUAUUGGUUAAUCUUUGUACAAUCUUACUCAGGACAAAAAUAAUCAUUCACUAUUUUUCUGACUGAACAUUUAUUUAUUUCCACAACUGGAAUUUGUAUUUUUAUUUCCUUUCCCUUUUUCUGUAAAAAUCUAGUUUCAUAUACUUUCUGAUACUUUUCAAAGGUCAGUCAGAAAAUAGCAGUAAACAAAUAUAUUUUAAAAUCCUCACUACCUAACAACUGGCCACACAGAUGAGUUAUAAAAUGCAUGUUAAAUUUAAUAUAUUAACAGUUAGCUAAGUAUAUUUAAGCAUAAUUCUAUUCUAAAUUUAGAAAUUACAGUUUCCUUUCAAAUAAAAUAUUUACAUCAUUUUUCUCUUAUUGCAAUGUUAAACAUUAGUGACCAAUAACCAAUUAGAAUAAAAUAUUGUUUCCUUGAACCGUUUUUCUAAAUAUCGACAAAUGUUUUCUGCCAAAACUGAUUGAAAGAAGUCUAUUAAUGAAAUUUUGUAACUGUUUCUAAAUUUAUUAUUUACUAUAUUUUGUGACAGACACCUGGAUUUUUUUAUUCUAAUUGACUUUUGAGAGUAUGAAUUUUAAAUCACCUUUGAUAAAAUCUUAAUUUUCUUUAGAGAAAAAUAAACAAAUUUAACUUUCUUGCCCUGUAACUUCAACUAACAACAUGUUUCUUUAAAAUUUAAAAUAUUUCAAGUUACCCUGUGAGAAGAACAAUAAACAGUUAUAAAAUCUAUAGUAAGACAAAACAACUUUACAAAUACAAUGCAUAAUAUACAUAUGAUAAAAUAUACCAUCAUCUAUAAAGCUAUUAAUGAGGUAGACCUAUUAAGGGACAUAACUCUUAAAAAUCACUGCUACGUUUUU